rnacentral:rRNA from 1 species
GUCUAUGGGCAUACCAUCCUGAUCUCAGCUGAUCUCAGAAGCUAAGCAAGGUAGGGCCUGAUGAGAACUUGGAUAGGUGACCAUUAUGCUGUCUAUCCCGCCCCCCCCUCUCUCCAGUUGUGUUAGUUCAAUUGCCG